ACGUUAGCGGCGGACGGGUGAGUAACACGUGGGUAACCUACCUAUAAGACUGGGAUAACUUCGGGAAACCGGAGCUAAUACCGGAUAAUAUUUCGAACCGCAUGGUUCGAUAGUGAAAGGUGGUUUUGCUAUCACUUAUAGAUGGACCCGCGCCGUAUUAGCUAGUUGGUAAGGUAACGGCUUACCAAGGCGACGAUACGUAGCCGACCUGAGAGGGUGAUCGGCCACACUGGAACUGAGACACGGUCCAGACUCCUACGGAGGCAGCAGUG
rnacentral:rRNA from 1 species